UACGGGGGGGAGCAAGCGUUGUUCGGAUUUACUGGGCGUAAAGGGCUCGUAGGCGGCCAACUAAGUCAGACGUGAAAUCCCUCGGCUUAACCGGGGAACUGCAUCUGAUACUGGAUGGCUUGAGUUCGGGAGAGGGAUGCGGAAUUCCAGGUGUAGCGGUGAAAUGCGUAGAUAUCUGGAGGAACACCGGUGGCGAAGGCGGCAUCCUGGACCGACACUGACGCUGAGGAGCGAAAGCCAGGGGAGCAAAGCGGGAU
rnacentral:rRNA from 1 species